AUUGAACGCUGGCGGCAGGCCUAACACAUGCAAGUCGAGCGGAUGAGAGGAGCUUGCUUCUCGAUUCAGCGGCGGACGGGUGAGUAACGCCUAGGAAUCUGCCUGGUCGUGGGGGACAACGUUUCGAAAGGAACGCUAAUAUCGCAUACGUCCUCCGGGAGAAAGCAGGGGACCUUCGGGCCUUGCGCUAUCAGAUGAGCCUAGGUCGGAUUAGCUAGUUGGUGAGGUAAUGGCUCACCAAGGCGAAGAUCCGUAACUGGUCUGAGAGGAUGAUCAGUCACACUGGAACUGAGACACGGUCCAGACUCCUACGGGAGGCAGCAGUGGGGAAUAUUGGACAAAGGGCGAAAGCCUGAUCCAGCCAUGCCGCGUGUGUGAAGAAGGUCUUCGGAUUGUAAAGCACUUUAAGUUGGGAGUAAGGGUUGUAGAUUAAUACUCUGCAAUUUUGGCGUUACCGACAGAAUAAGCACCGACUAACUCUGUGCCAGCAGCCGCCGUAACAC
rnacentral:rRNA from 1 species